UACGUAGGGGGCGAGCGUUGUCCGAAGUUACUGGGCGUAAAGCGCGCGUAGGCGGCUUCUUAAGUCUGGGGUGAAAGGUUCAACGCUCAACGUGAACAGUGCCUUGGAUACUGGGAAGCUUGAGUUCGGGAGGGGGCAGUGGAAUUCCUGGUGUAGCGGUGAAAUGCGCAGAUAUCAGGAAGAACACCUAUGGCGAAGGCAGCUCUCUGGGACGGUACUGACGCUGAGACGCGAAAGCGUGGGGAGCGAACAGG
rnacentral:rRNA from 1 species